rnacentral:misc_RNA from 1 species
AUUCAUGGCAAGCAUUUGUUCUAGCGCCUAAAGGUGAUUGGUAUAUUGCCAAGAUUCCUCUUGAUCGAUAUUUACCAACAUGGAGAGGGAAUGUAAUAGAUUCAGAGUUGGAAAUGAACCCAUCUCGUAUUGUUGGCAUGUCUUUAUCGGUUAAUGCUGCUGCUGGCGUUCCUGGUGCUAAAUCUGGGCCCGGUGACUUUAAAGUGG